CAAAGCAUUGUGGUGUAAUUCCAGCGAAAAUUGACCCAAGGGUGUUUUUCUGCAUUAAAACACAUCAAAUAAGCCGUGGAGACAGUAUUUUUCGUUGAUCAACCACUACAGAGCUUGCUCCGGUAUACGCUACAGCCCCAA